GCCUUCUGAAAGGAAGAUUAAUACAAGAUGGCAUCAUGAGUCCGCAUGUUCACAUGAUUAAAGGUAUUCCGGUAGACGAUGGGGAUGCGUUCCAUUAGAUAGUAGGCGGGGUAACGGCCCACCUAGUCUUCGAUGGAUAGGGGUUCUGAGAGGAAGGUCCCCCACAUUGGAACUGAGACACGGUCCAAACUCCUACGGGAGGCAGCAGUGAGGAAUAUUGGUCAAUGGGCGAGAGUCUGAACCAGCCAAGUAGCGUGAAGGAUGACUGCCCUAUGGGUUGUAAACUUCUUUUAUAAAGGAAUAAAGUCGGGUAUGGAUACCCGUUUGCAUGUACUUUAUGAAUAAGGAUCGGCUAACUCCGUGCCAGCAGCCGCGGUAAUACGGAGGAUCCGAGCG
rnacentral:rRNA from 1 species